UCUCCACAAAAGAAAAACAACUUGCUUACACCUUAUGUACAAAACCAAAACAGCACAGAGAUAAGAUGCUAAGGAGCUGUCCACACCCUGGGUCUAACUGGAGGUGCUUUGAAAUGUCAUGUGGCCAGGGGACUGAGAUUGCCACUGAUCUGAAAACUUCAUUGGGAAACAGCAGAAAAGAAAGAGCUGGGGGAAUAGGAUGAGCUAGUGUAACUAACCAUAGC
rnacentral:lncRNA from 1 species